UGUUAGUUUGUAAAGUGACGAAAGAUGCUGGCUUUAAAAUAGCAUGCACUGUUCACUUGUUUGCAGAUUUUUAACAUAAAUCUGGCUACCAGUAGGUUUCAAGCAUCGCUUUAAAAUAGCAUUGCACAGGUCACUUUUGACAGAUUUUUAACAUAAAUCUGGCUACCACUAGGUAGUAUGUGGUUGUAUGCUUGUAUCAUUUCAGGCAGCUUCUUCAAUCGAAGGAUGGAUGACCAGCAUUGCCAGGCAAGAAUCAAGAAAGAGAAGGUAGGAGUCUCGAUCCCAGACAAUGCCUGAGGUCAGGAAAUGGCUCAAGCAGUCGAGUUUCGAGGAUAGGUAAGAUUAUGAUGUAGAUGUUAGUUUGUAAAGUGACAAAAGAUGCGUAGCUUUAAAAUAGCACUCACAGAUCACGUUUUGCCGAUUUUUAUUAACAUAAAUCUGGCUAACCAGUAGGUUAUUUUGCAAUUGUGUGUGACUGUACGCUUGUAUCAUAUCAGGCAGCUUCUUCAAUCGAAGGAAGGAUGACCUGCAGCAUUGCCAGGCAAGAACGAAAAAAGAGAAGGGUCACAUCUGAAUUACUGAGAUCCCCAUUCCAUAGGACUUCAAAGGAGAACCCAUCAAAGAUCGUCUCGAAAGACUUGCCUUGAUGAGGAUACGCUGCAAAACCACUGACGAAGAAAAAUCACUUCAUCACCAUCAUUGUGGAAGUUUUAUAGCCCUUUUGGGUCUUCAAUUUAUAAGCUACAACACAAGGAAUACUGUUUGGAACGAACCUGAUAAAACAACUAUCCAUGCACGUUGAUACAGAGCAGGACAAUCCCCUCGAUGCUCUUGUUUGAGGCAAGUGCCAAUUCGAGCGCUGACAUCACAGGGAAUCCCCUAUUGACUCGAGUGGUAGCAUAUGAAUUGUCCACAAAAUUUUCUUUUAUUUCAUGAAAAGUGUGAAAUUUGACAGAGUUUUUGAACAAUGGCGAGCGGAGAAAUCUUGGAUAUGAUGUCAUAACAUGCUAAUUAAUAAAAAUUUUCAAAACAUUCUAAGUUAUCCUGAAAUUACAUGUUAUAAGGUAUUACAAUCCACUAAUAAUUCAAUUUCAUGAAUUUGGUCCCUACCGGCCUUUUUGCGUGGCUGGUCACAUAUUUGUUUCAAAUUGCAACUUCCACGAUUUGUUCCAAAAUGUGAUUUACCUACAUGCUUGAAGAUCACCUGUAUGUAACUGCACAUAAUCUUGCACUGUGGCCCAGUGUGUUUUGCACCCUUGAAACUAAUGUAAUUUAGACCUUUCAAGCCUGAAUGCUCUUGGGAGCGCCUUCCUGUUCUCAGAUAGUCUGUGAAUCAAAUAAGCCACUAAAGUAUGUUGAUAACUUUAUCAUUUAAUACUGUGUCAUCUUCCUUUGUCCCACAUCUUUUAUCAUUUUUAAUUUUUUUAAAUUUUUGCAGAGAAUUUUUUUUGCAUUACAAUUUUUUCCUUUAGUGGUAAAUGUUGGUCAUUAUAGCUAGAUUAGAGGUGGGUUAGGCCUACAGGGUUUUGAUAGCAGUAGUACAACAUUAGUUUAUUUCAUGACUGGCAGUUAGUGCCGUCAUCCGUAGCCACUUGUAGUGUAGCUGUUAGCGAUAUGAUUGAGACUAGUGAGUGUAGUAGGUGUAGGCGCAACGUAGCUAAGGUUAGGCACUCACUGGUCUUUAUCUCAACUCCAGGAAGAUGACACAC